UGCCUAAUAAUGCAGUCGAGCGAGCUUGCCUAGAUGAUUUUAGUGCUUGCACUAAAUGAAACUAGAUACAAGCGAGCGGCGGACGGGUGAGUAACACGUGGGUAACCUGCCCAAGAGACUGGGAUAACACCUGGAAACAGAUGCUAAUACCGGAUAACAACACUAGACGCAUGUCUAGAGUUUGAAAGAUGGUUCUGCUAUCACUCUUGGAUGGACCUGCGGUGCAUUAGCUAGUUGGUAAGGUAACGGCUUACCAAGGCAAUGAUGCAUAGCCGAGUUGAGAGACUGAUCGGCCACAUUGGGACUGAGACACGGCCCAAACUCCUACGGGAGGCAGCAGUAGGGAAUCUUCCACAAUGGACGAAAGUCUGAUGGAGCAACGCCGCGUGAGUGAAGAAGGGUUUCGGCUCGUAAAGCUCUGUUGGUAGUGAAGAAAGAUAGAGGUAGUAACUGGCCUUUAUUUGACGGUAAUUACUUAGAAAGUCACGGCUAACUACGUGCCAGCAGCCGCGGUAAUACGUAGGUGGCAAGCGUUGUCCGGAUUUAUUGGGCGUAAAGCGAGUGCAGGCGGUUCAAUAAGUCUGAUGUGAAAGCCUUCGGCUCAACCGGAGAAUUGCAUCAGAAACUGUUGAACUUGAGUGCAGAAGAGGAGAGUGGAACUCCAUGUGUAGCGGUGGAAUGCGUAGAUAUAUGGAAGAACACCAGUGGCGAAGGCGGCUCUCUGGUCUGCAACUGACGCUGAGGCUCGAAAGCAUGGGUAGCGAACAGGAUUAGAUACCCUGGUAGUCCAUGCCGUAAACGAUGAGUGCUAAGUGUUGGGAGGUUUCCGCCUCUCAGUGCUGCAGCUAACGCAUUAAGCACUCCGCCUGGGGAGUACGACCGCAAGGUUGAAACUCAAAGGAAUUGACGGGGGCCCGCACAAGCGGUGGAGCAUGUGGUUUAAUUCGAAGCAACGCGAAGAACCUUACCAGGUCUUGACAUCCAGUGCAAACCUAAGAGAUUA
rnacentral:rRNA from 1 species